rnacentral:piRNA from 1 species
UAGUGCUGGUUUUCCUGUGAC